rnacentral:rRNA from 1 species
UACAGAGGUCUCAAGCGUUGUUCGGAUUCAUUGGGCGUAAAGGGCGCGUAGGCGGCUGUGCAAGUCAGGUGUGAAAGCCCUGGGCUCAACCCAGGAUGUGCACUUGAUACUGCGCGGCUAGAGUGUCGGAGAGGAUGGUGGAAUUCCCAGUGUAGAGGUGAAAUGCGUAGAUAUUGGGAGGAACACCAGUGGCGAAGGCGGCUCACUGGACCGGUUCUGACGCUGAGGCGCGAAAGCGUGGGGAGCAAACGGG